CCUACGGGAGGCAGCAGUGAGGAAUAUUGGUCAAUGGGCGAGAGCCUGAACCAGCCAAGUCGCGUGAGGGAGUACUGCCCUAUGGGUUGUAAACCUCUUUUGUCGGGGAGCAAAAGCCGGACGUGUCCGGCUGUGAGAGUACCCGAAGAAACAGCAUCGGCUAACUCCGUGCCAGCAGCCGCGGUACUACGGGGGAUGCGAGCGUUCUCCGGAUUUCUUGGGUUUAAGGGUUGCGUAGGGGGAUUUUUACGUCAGCGGGAAAUUCGGGGGGCUAAACCCCGUACAGCCGUGGAAACUGGGGAUCGGGAGUGUGGGAGAGGUAUGCGGAAUGCGUGGUGGAGCGGUGAAAUGCAUAGAUAGCACGCAGAACCCCGAUUGCGAAGGCAGCAUACCGGUGCACAACUGACGCUCAGGCACGAAAGCGUGGGUAUCGAACAGGAUUAGAUACCCGUGUAGUC
rnacentral:rRNA from 1 species